rnacentral:rRNA from 1 species
CCUACGGGAGGCAGCAGUGAGGAAUAUUGGUCAAUGGACGAGAGUCUGAACCAGCCAAGUAGCGUGAAGGAUGACUGCCCUAUGGGUUGUAAACUUCUUUUAUAUGGGAAUAAAAUGUUCCACGUGUGGGCUUUUGUAUGUACCAUAUGAAUAAGGAUCGGAUAACUCCGUGCCAGCAGCCGCGGUAAUACGGAGGAUCCGAGCGUUAUCCGGAUUUAUUGGGUUUAAAGGGAGCGUAUGUGGAUUGUUAAGUCAGUUGUGAAAGUUUGCGGCUCAACCGUAAAAUUGCAGUUGAAACUGGCAGUCUUGAGUACAGUAGAGGUGGGCGGAAUUCGUGGUGUAGCGGUGAAAUGCUUAGAUAUCACGAAGAACUCCGAUUGCGAAGGCAGCUCACUGGACUGCAACUGACACUGAGGCUCGAAAGUGUGGGUAUCAAACAGGAUUAGAUACCCCAGUAGUC